rnacentral:lncRNA from 1 species
UUUUUGGUUUGUUUUUAACUUUCACACAGAGCCGGAUAUUUUUGUUUUAUUUUAGGUUUAUUUCUUCUAAGGUGUAACUUGUGGGUUCUUUAAAGCUGUGGCAGUGAUGGUAACCAACGCCUUCCCGCUCCUCAGCUCCCACAAGACAAGCCAGCAUCUGCUGAGAAGCCUUCUAGGUGUUUCCGCACACCGUGAAAGGUGCUUUGAAACUCCCAUCCUCUGCUUUGUAGAACUAGGGCCUGAUGGGCACUCCAGUCACCCACUGUCACUCUGUGGUAAAACUACUGAUGCUUGCUUGCUUCCCGAGUUGCCCGAGGAUGGCUGCCAUGCGCUGUCCAGUGUGAGUGUUGCUGCUGGUGAAUUUGAAGGUGCUUUGUCCUCCGCUGCUGUUGGCUUAGUUGCUUAGUUUCCCCAUCAGUGCCCCCACUCUCCCCCCCUCCCGCCCCAUUAGCACUGGCUCAGCUUUAACUGUCUCCUCAGCCAAUCAGAUGUUAAAGACCAUGGGAGUCCUCUUGUUUAAUUUGUCCUCGUGUAUCUAUUAAACCUCGAUCAGGGUUUCUAGAAUGGCUGCAGUAGAUUUUGAAAACAGACUUACCGUUAUCGAUUUGGGGUUUCCCAGAGAUCCAGUUCACAGUUAAUUGUUGAACUCGAGUACAACUGACCAUUCAAAAGUGAACAACAGCCCAUUGUUUUGUAACAGUGUCGGGUAAGCCCUGACAUUUCAAUUGAAACAUGAAUUGUCAUUAUAACUCAAUGCAAAUUCAACAGUUGUAUUUGGAGUUAAAUUAUUUUAACAAAUAAAUUUAUUUAAUG